AUACUUACCUGGCAGUGGAGACACCAUGAUCAUGAAGGUGGUUUUCCCAGGGCGAGGCUUAUCCAUUGCACUCCGGAUAUGCUGACCCCUGCGAUUUCCCCAAAUGUGGGAAACUCGACUGCAUAAUUUGUGGUAGUGGGGGACUGCGUUCGCACUUUCCCCUG
rnacentral:snRNA from 1 species